UACGUAGGAUGCAAGCGUUAUCCGGAAUGAUUGGGCGUAAAGCGUCCGCAGGUGGCUGUGUAAGUCUGCUGUCAAAGAGCGAAGCUCAACUUCGUAAAGGCAGUGGAAACUACACGGCUAGAGUGCGUUCGGGGCAGAGGGAAUUCCUGGUGUAGCGGUGAAAUGCGUAGAGAUCAGGAAGAACACCGGUGGCGAAGGCGCUCUGCUAGGCCGCAACUGACACUGAGGGACGAAAGCUAGGGGAGCGAAUCGG
rnacentral:rRNA from 1 species